rnacentral:lncRNA from 1 species
CCGCACGAAUGACUGGACCACCUGGGAGCUGGAGUGUGCCGGCAAUUAGCCUCCCUGAAUCUGCAGUUAACCGCAGCUUAAUAGACGAAUGCUGGGUGGCCGCCAUUCGUAUCACGAACACGAGGUCGCGGCCAUUUUAAACAUGCGAAUGCACAGCAGUGUUCGACGCUUAAUUCAUGGAACUGAAAUCGGACACAGUUUUGCGCGAACACCGCUGAAGCUGCC